CAUAUCAAUAAGCGGAGGAAAAGAAACUAACAAGGAUUCCCCUAGUAACUGCGAGUGAAGCGGGAAAAGCUCAAAUUUAAAAUCUGUCAGUCUUUGGCUGUCCGAGUUGUAAUCUAGAGAAGUGUUAUCCGCGCUGGACCGUGUACAAGUCUCCUGGAAUGGAGCGUCAUAGAGGGUGAGAAUCCCGUCUCUGACACGGACUACCAGGGCUUUGUGAUGCGCUCUCAAAGAGUCGAGUUGUUUGGGAAUGCAGCUCAAAAUGGGUGGUAAAUUCCAUCUAAAGCUAAAUAUUGGCGAGAGACCGAUAGCGAACAAGUACCGUGAGGGAAAGAUGAAAAGAACUUUGGAAAGAGAGUUAAACAGUACGUGAAAUUGCUGAAAGGGAAACGCUUGAAGUCAGUCGCGUUGUCCAGGGAUCAACCUUGCUUUUGCUUGGUGUACUUUCUGGUUGACGGGUCAGCAUCAAUUUUGAUCAUUGGAAAAAGGUUAAGGGAAUGUGGCAUCUUUGGAUGUGUUAUAGCCCUUGAUUGUAUACAAUGGUUGGGAUUGAGGAACUCAGCACGCCGAAAGGCCGGGUUUUAACCACGUACGUGCUUAGGAUGCUGGCAUAAUGGCUUUAAUCGACCCGUCUUGAAACACGGACCAAGGAGUCUAACAUGCCUGCGAGUGUUUGGGUGGAAAACCCGAGCGCGUAAUGAAAGUGAAAGUUGAGAUCCCUGUCGUGGGGAGCAUCGACGCCCGGACCAGACCUUUUGUGACGGUUCCGCGGUAGAGCAUGUAUGUUGGGACCCGAAAGAUGGUGAACUAUGCCUGAAUAGGGUGAAGCCAGAGGAAACUCUGGUGGAGGCUCGUAGCGAUUCUGACGUGCAAAUCGAUCGUCAAAUUUGGGUAUAGGGGCGAAAGACUAAUCGAACCAUCUAGUAGCUGG
rnacentral:rRNA from 1 species